rnacentral:piRNA from 1 species
UGCCCAUUUUCUCCUCCUUGAAGGUGCUC